rfam:Arabidopsis thaliana chromosome 3, complete sequence.
GAGAGAAGAACAUAUAAGGAUAGCCAAGGAGACUGCCUGAUGUCUUUUGAUGAGUAAAAUGGUCAUUGCUUGAUAUAACUUAUAGUCACUUGUCAAACAUGACACUAACCCAUUUUACUCAAAGAAACAGGCAAGUCAUCCUUGGCUACCAAAUAUGAUUCUUCUAU